AUGGACCAUGUGGUCAAUGAACAUAAGAAACCCUCUUUCCCGUUUGGAGGAGCAGCAUCAGAACUCAGGAACUCUGUGUAUGUGCUGCUGGGAACUCAGAGCUUGAGCAAAGCUAAACACAUCUGUGCCAGAUGUGUGCCAACCCAUAUGCUGCUCCCCAACCUGCCAAGGGUAUUUGUGGCCUCCAUCUACUCUGGAGUGGGCAGCGUAUUGAAUGUGGAACAGAAUCCUCCAUGGCUUCAUGUUCAGGAAGGAGAGAACACCAAUUUCACCUGCCGUUUUCCUUCCAGCAGUUUUUACUCUUUACAGUGGUACAGAUGGGAACCUGCAAAAAGCCCCACGUUCCUGUUCUCAGUUACUUUAAAUGGGGAUGAAAAGAAGAAAGGACGAGUAAAAACCACUCUUAAUACACAGGAGGGUUAUAGCUCCUUGUACAUCGAAGGAUCCCAGCCUGAAGAUGCAGUCAUAUACCUCUGUGCUAUGACACGGUGCUCUUCAGGCACCUGCAGCCCAUAUCAAAACCCAUGGCUGGUGCUGCUCUGGCACCAGCGUUGA